GACGAACGCUGGCGGCGCGCUUAACACAUGCAAGUCGAGCGAGAACCAGCCCUUCGGGGCUGGGGAGAGCGGCGAACGGGUGAGUAACACGUGGGUAAUCAACCCUCGGUACUGGGAUAGCCCGGGGAAACCCGGAUUAAUACCGGAUGGCCCUUCGAAUCCUCGGAUUUGAAGGAAAAGGUAGCUUCGGCCUCCGACCGAGGACGAGCCCGCGGCGGAUUAGCUUGUUGGUGGGGUAACGGCCUACCAAGGCGACGAUCCGUAGCUGGUCUGAGAGGACGAUCAGCCACACUGGGACUGAGACACGGCCCAGACUUCUACGGAAGGAAGCAGUGGGGAAUCUUGCGCUAAUGCGGGAAACCGUGAUGCAGCGACGCCGCGUGGGGGAAGAAGGCCUUCGGGUUGUAAACCUCUUUCAGGAGGGACGAAGCUACUCGGGUUAAUAGCCCAGAGGGUGACGGUACCUCCAGAAGAAGCCCCGGCUAACUACGUGCCAGCCGCCGCGGUAAUAC
rnacentral:rRNA from 1 species